CCCAGAGUAACCUUUGCUAGCACCAUCUCAGCCAGGACUGGUCUCAGAGGAGCGAUGGUCAGGGUUCAUAUUUUAGUAUCCUGCUCUAGGCGCCU
rnacentral:pre_miRNA from 1 species